UUUCCUACGGGGGGCCGCAGUGGGGCCUCUUGCUCCCUUUUCUCCCGCCUGACGCAGCGACGCCGCGUGAGGGAUGAAGGUCUUCGGAUCGUAAACCUCUGUCAGCAGGGAAGAACGGUCACUGUGCUAAUCAGCAGUGAAUUGACGGUACCUGCAAAGGAAGCACCGGCUAACUCCGUGCCAGAAGCCGCGGUAAUACGGAGGGUGCGAGCGUUAAUCGGAAUUACUGGGCGUAAAGCGCUCGUAGGCGGUAUGUCAAGUCAAGGGUGAAAUCCCCGCGCUCAACGCGGGAACUGCCUUUGAAA
rnacentral:rRNA from 1 species